rnacentral:rRNA from 1 species
UGGGGAAUAUUGGACAAUGGGCGAAAGCCUGAUCCAGCCAUGCCGCGUGUGUGAAGAAGGUCUUCGGAUUGUAAACUGCUUUUGUACGGAACGAAAAGGCUCUGGUUAAUACCUGGGGCAUAUGACGGUACCGUAAGAAUAAGCACCGGCUAACUACGUGCCAGCAGCCGCGGUAAUACGUAGGGUGCAAGCGUUAAUCGGAAUUACUGGGCGUAAAGCGUGCGCAGGCGGUUUUGUAAGACAGGCGUGAAAUCCCCGGGCUCAACCUGGGAAUUGCAUUUGAGACUGCACGGCUAGAGUGUGUCAGAGGGGGGUAGAAUUCCACGUGUAGCAGUGAAAUGCGUAGAUAUGUGGAGGAAUACCGAUGGCGAAGGCAGCCCCCUGGGAUAACACUGACGCUCAUGCACGAAAGCGUGGGGAGCAAACAGGAUUAGAUACCCCCGUAGUCCCUGAGCGGGCUGGCAAGGCGCAU